rnacentral:rRNA from 1 species
UGGGGAAUAUUGCACAAUGGGCGCAAGCCUGAUGCAGCCAUGCCGCGUGUGUGAAGAAGGCCUUCGGGUUGUAAAGCACUUUCAGCGGGGAGGAAGGCGGUGAGGUUAAUAACCUCAUCGAUUGACGUUACCCGCAGAAGAAGCACCGGCUAACUCCGUGCCAGCAGCCGCGGUAAUACGGAGGGUGCAAGCGUUAAUCGGAAUUACUGGGCAUAAAGCGCACGCAGGCGGUCUGUCAAGUCGGAUGUGAAAUCCCCGGGCUCAACCUGGGAACUGCAUUCGAAACUGGCAGGCUAGAGUCUUGUAGAGGGGGGUAGAAUUCCAGGUGUAGCGGUGAAAUGCGUAGAGAUCUGGAGGAAUACCGGUGGCGAAGGCGGCCCCCUGGACAAAGACUGACGCUCAGGUGCGAAAGCGUGGGGAGCAAACAGG